rnacentral:rRNA from 1 species
UCGAGAAUUUUUCUCAAUGGGGGCAACCCUGAAGGAGCGACGCCGCGUGGAGGAUGAAGGCUUUCGGGUUGUAAACUCCUGUCAUUUGAGAACAAGCGUCGGUAAGUAACUACUACCGGCUUGAUAGUAUCAGAAGAGGAAGAGACGGCUAACUCUGUGCCAGCAGCCGCGGUAAUACAGAGGUCUCAAGCGUUGUUCGGAUUCAUUGGGCGUAAAGGGUGCGUAGGUGGCGCGCUAAGUCAGGUGUGAAAUUUCGGAGCUUAACUCCGAAACUGCAUUUGAUACUGGCGUGCUUGAGGACUGGAGAGGAGACUGGAAUUCACGGUGUAGCAGUGAAAUGCGUAGAUAUCGUGAGGAAGACCAGUGGCGAAGGCGGGUCUCUGGACAGUUCCUGACACUGAGGCACGAAGGCCAGGGGAGCAAACGG